rnacentral:misc_RNA from 1 species
AACUCUAAAAGUAGCUGAAUUCUACCAUGAAAAAGAGAAGCAAAAGCAUCAAGACUUUUAAUCAUUCUCUUGUGCCUUUUGGGUUCAAAGAACUGUGGAACAAUCCUGUUUUUUUCUUUUUUUCAUCAGCUCGGACAAGCAUAGCCUUCCUCCAAUGGUUCUACCGGUACAGCAUAUGGUGAAGUCCAGUCAGCAUUGAAGAUUUCUUGAAGUUGUGAAACAAUGGCAGGUUGAUAUGUCCCAAAGCUAACGCCUGCUGUGGUGUAAAAGUAGUCCCACACCAGGUUGCUGGUGCUUACGUGUGCACGCACAUCACUAACUGCAUAUUUACCAUGAUUAACCCGUGUAUAGCCAGGAUACAUAUUCCCAGUGGCAGCACCAUUAAGUACUGCAGGUCCAG